rfam:Catenulispora acidiphila DSM 44928, complete genome.
CGAGUCGGCGAGGCGAUCGCGGCAGCGGGCGACCGGUGUCGAGGAAAGUCCGGACUCCAUAGGACAGGGUGGUUGGCAACACCAACCCGGGGUGACCCGCGGGACAGUGCCACAGAGAAAAGACCGCCCGCCGUCAGGCGGGUAAGGGUGAAACGGUGAGGUAAGAGCUCACCAGCGCCCGGGGUGACCCGGGCGGCUAGGUAAACCCCACCCGGAGCAAGGUCAAGAGGGCCUGGGAGACCAGGUCUGCGCAGGCGUUCGAGGGCUGUCCGCCCGAGCCUGCGGGUAGACCGCACGAGGCACGCGGCGACGCGUGCCCUAGAUGGAUGGUCGCCACUGCGCUUCGGCGCAGGACAGAAUCCGGCUUAGGACCGGCUCGCCGC